rnacentral:rRNA from 1 species
UACAGAGGUCUCAAGCGUUGUUCGGAUUCAUUGGGCGUAAAGGGUGCGUAGGUGGCGCCGUAAGUCGGGUGUGAAAUUUCGGAGCUUAACUCCGAAACUGCAUUCGAUACUGCGGUGCUUGAGGACUGGAGAGGAGACUGGAAUUCAUGGUGUAGCAGUGAAAUGCGUAGAGAUCAUGAGGAAGACCAGUGGCGAAGGCGGGUCUCUGGACAGUUCCUGACACUGAGGCACGAAGGCCGGGGAGCAAACGGG